UACGAAGGGUGCAAGCGUUACUCGGAAUUACUGGGCGUAAAGCGUGCGCAGGCGGUCUUGUAAGACAGAUGUGAAAUCCCCGGGCUUAACCUGGGACCUGCAUUUGUGACUGCAAGGCUGGAGUACGGCAGAGGGGGAUGGAAUUCCGCGUGUAGCAGUGAAAUGCGUAGAUAUGCGGAGGAACACCGAUGGCGAAGGCAAUCCCCUGGGCCUGUACUGACGCUCAUGCACGCAAGCGUGGGGAGCAAACAGG
rnacentral:rRNA from 1 species